AUGCUUAGAAGAAUGUACCAAGGUGGUUCCUCGGCAAAGAAAGGGCCAAGGAUUGCUAUACGUGAGCAAGAUGUUGAAUUGCCGAGGGACGUGGAUGUACGAGCUUGUGAGUGGCCAUCCGAUGAUUUUAUGGUCGAAGCAAGCUUCAAGGAAGAAUUUGAUGCGUAUGUGCGUAAUGCCGAGCUGGAGGACUUCUUACAAGAUAAGUGUCUGCAAUACUAUCAAUUGACUGAUUCCUUUGUGCGGAGGUUCCAAUAUAACUGUACGCGUAAUUCUCCUAGUGUCAUGUUUGAUAUUUAUGAUACAUCUUAUACCAUGGAUUUAGAGGAUUUCACAACUGCUUGCAAACUCCCGCAGUGGGGUAAUAUUAAUGAUCCUCACAAAUCUGAAUUUAGAGAUUUUCUUGCUAGUAUUACUGUGGGAGAAUCUAGGGACAUAGCACAAGCUACCAUAGGGAGCAUUCAUUUUCCUGCUAUACAUUAUUUUGCUCUCUUUAUUGGUAGAUGCAUUAACGGUAAGGACGAAGCAUGUCACAUGUGUGUCCCUGAUCUUUGUGUCCUCAAGAGUGUUGUGUCAGGUUAUAAAGGUUAUAACUUGGGGGCAAUAGUUGCACAUAGGUUGCAGAAUAAUAGUAGAAAGGGGGAUUUAUUUGGAGGGAUUUAUGCAACCCAUGUGGCUAAUUAUCUUAAUAUAGCCCCACGAGAGGGGGAUAUGAUUUUACCUCCUAUUUAUUUGGAUAAAGAAGCUAUGUUCAAUCAUCAUUUUCUUGAGAGGAAUGAACAAUUCCUCCAUUAUCGACUAAUCUAUGACAGACGCAACGUCAUCCCUGUUACUCUUCCUGCUCCCUACCUUUUUGAUUAUCAGGCAAAAGGAAGAUAUGUUGUCACCAGGGGGGAAGCAGCUGAAUACGAGAGGGGAGUGGAGGCAGCUCGCCAACACGCUACUGCUCAGGAGGCGGUUGCCGCUGCAUCUCAGUACAACCCCAGUUUCACUUAUGGAUAUCAGCCAGGCGGUCCUUGGUAUUAG
rnacentral:rRNA from 1 species